AGGAUGAACGCUGGCGGCGUGCUUAACACAUGCAAGUCGAGCGAAGCACCUUGACGGAUUUCUUCGGAUUGAAGCCUUGGUGACUGAGCGGCGGACGGGUGAGUAACGCGUGGGUAACCUGCCUCAUACAGGGGGAUAACAGUUGGAAACGGCUGCUAAUACCGCAUAAGCGCACAGUACCGCAUGGUACGGUGUGAAAAACUCCGGUGGUAUGAGAUGGACCCGCGUCUGAUUAGGUAGUUGGUGGGGUAACGGCCUACCAAGCCGACGAUCAGUAGCCGACCUGAGAGGGUGACCGGCCACAUUGGGACUGAGACACGGCCCAAACUCCUACGGGAGGCAGCAGUGGGGAAUAUUGCACAAUGGGGGAAACCCUGAUGCAGCGACGCCGCGUGAGCGAUGAAGUAUUUCGGUAUGUAAAGCUCUAUCAGCAGGGAAGAAAAUGACGGUACCUGACUAAGAAGCCCCGGCUAACUACGUGCCAGCAGCCGCGGUAAUACGUAGGGGGCAAGCGUUAUCCG
rnacentral:rRNA from 1 species